ACCUUCACAAAUAGCUCAGCUGGUAGAGCAUGAGAUCCAUGCUGUCAGGGUCGUGGGUUAGAGCCCCACAUUGGGCA